CAUUAUUAUUUAUUAACAAAAAACAAUUUCAAUUGAAAUGUGUCUAUAAAUUUCAUAUUGCCAAAUCUGACGACCGUUUUAUAAAAGCAAUAGCUCACGACAGACUGUGGUAUGUUGUGAUAACAAUAUUACAUUUAGUUAAACGGCGAUGGUGACUCACUUCCUACCACUAAACCUUCCAGCAGAAUCGACACACACUUUUAUUAAAAACACAAACAGACGAGGCUGAUAACAGACGCUGCUUUGUGAGAAUAAAACUGCCAUGGCUUACGGGGUUUAUUUUCACUUUACUUCCUCAACGGCUUGGAUAAAGCAAAACACAACUUCAGGCAACGUGAACACUGGGGGAAAGGAAUUCAGCAAGAGAAACGAGAGUCUGGAGACACCACCCACGUCUGCCUUAAAUUGUGAAUAUGCCGCAGAUACUUACGUCUUUUGUUUAAACAAACAGACUAAAUAAGAAGAAAACUUGCAAAAGAGUAAUUCAGGAACCUGAUGCAUGUGGCUCAGCUUGAGUCAGUCUCCGCUCUGAGAACACAACCUGCUCAGCUCGCUCUAUAACCAGCAGAAAUACACCAGACUGCAUGUGGACAGUACUGCAGCGAGGGGGAUAACGUGCUACAUAGAGAAUGUGUUGGGACUGACAUAAAGCAUGUCUGAGGCAGCAGGAGCCUAGAGAUUAAAGAAGUGGACUUGUGACUGAAAGCCACUUCUUUGAAUUUCCAAGUCGAUGGGGAAAAAUGUGGGAGGAGAGACCAAACGACUAACACUCUCACCUCCCUCACAUACCAUCGAUCUGGCCUUGAUGAAGGAACUUUAUCACCAGCUGAUGCAGUGGAGCAGCUUCAGGCCCAAAAGUGGAAGACAAAAGUGAAAAUCUGCAGCAUGAACGCAAAGUUAAGUCUUGGCCUAUCCAGGCAAACUUUCCCAGUUGAA